CAAUUUUCUUUUUGUAAAAGUGUAAUUUGACUGGACUAUAUUGCCGACUACAAUAUAUAACUAUUAAUUAUUAACCCAAGUGUACACUUAUUUAUCCAACCUUCCAACAUGGUAGCAGAGCGUUGGAGACUUUUAUUUUUAUUUUUUACAUUAACCUUCGGGAAGAUGUAAAAAAUGAAGGGGGGUUAAAAAGUGAGGUUAGAAGAAAAGCCACGUGGAAAAGAAGUUAACGGUUAUUGCUAACAAAGUGAAUCGCACAGUGAAAAAUUGAGCAGUGAAAUAAAAGGAGAAAAUUUCUCAAUAAAAAUUAUAAGCUUGUGAAGCAUGAAAAUUCGAAUUUUUACGUCGAAGUUUGUCUGUCGAAAAAAAAAUUUCAAGUGAAGAUUAACCAGUUCAGAAAAGGUUGAAGUCAAAAAAUAUAUGCUCAGUGACGUAGAUAAAGUUGUCAGGUACUAAACAAUAAGAAGUUUUUUGAAAAAUAAUUAAUAUUAAAGUGCGAUGUUAAUGGAUUAAAGUCGGCAAAUGAAACACGAAGAACACACAUAGAAGUUAUAAAUAUUGCAUUAAACGAAAAUUCAAGAAAUCAGAUUCGAAGAAUAUUUUUGAGAAGACUUAAGAAAAUAAUUGUGUUAAAAAAUCAAGUAUACGAAAAUAUAAGAGUUAAAGAAGAAAAAAUGACUAAAAAAGCAAAAAUUGAAGAUAUAAUACCUGUGUUUGAUGGUGCAAAUUAUUCAAGUUGGAAAAUCAGACUAAUGAUUUUAUUAGAAUAUAAAGAUUAUAAGGAACCAGCAAUCGGUGAAAUGCCGAAUACGUACAAAGACAAAGAAGCAGAUUGGAAAAAGAUUGAUCUAAAAGCUCGAACUAUGAUAAUUAGUGCUAUCUCCGACAAGCAAUUAGAAUAUGUUGGCGAAUGUAAAACGGCUUACGAAAUGAUAACACAAUUCGACAAGAUGUAUUUAUCUCAGUCUACAGCCCUGCAAAUUAUAUGUAGAGGUAAACUAGUAGAAAUUAAAUUAAAUAAUUACAAUUCAGUGGAAGAAUUUUUCGUUGAGUUCGAAAAAGUAACAAACGAGUUUAAAUCAGCUGGUGGAAAAUUAGAAGAUACUGAAAAGUUGAGAUAUUUGCUCAGAGCUUUACCACCAAGCUACAGUUAUAUUGGAGAUUUUAUAGAUGUAAUCCCAGAGAACCAAAGAACCGUAGACUAUGUCAAGUCAAAAACCAAAGAGAAAAAUAUGACUCAACCUGAGUUAAACAAUAAAAGCAACGUCAGUACCUUUGCGGUCCAAACCAAAUGAAAGUGUUAGAACUGUGAAAAAGUUGAACACUACAAAAAUGAAUGCACGAGACCACCACAGCAGAGCAACCGAGAACGAGGUCCUCAAUCCAGUCAAGGUCAACGAGGUCAUCAAAGAGGCUACAACAGAGGAAACUACAGAGGUGGAUCAUACAGAGGACGAGGUCGUGGACGAGGAACAAGCCAAACGAAUGGCGAAUCAUCCAGCGAUCAACACAACUACACAUCCGAGUCGUGGCUAACACAGGUGUGCAACUUGGAUUCAAGUCAGGUAAUAAGUUUCAGUGAAAAUGAAAAUAGUGAAAAUCCGUGUGUUAUAAAUUGGUUACUAGAUAGUGGGUGUACUGAUCACCUAAUAAAAAGUGAAAAAUAUUUCAAUGAUUAUGUAGAUUUAAAAAUUCCUAUUAAUGUAAAAUUGCCAAAUGGUAAAAUGCUAAAAGCAACAAAAGUAGGCACUGCUAAAUUUCGUUUCCACAAUUAUCACAAUGAAAAAUGUGUUGAUAUUAAAAAUGUCUAUUAUGUUGAAGGCAUCAAGCAAAAUUUAUUGAGUUUUUCUAAAAUCACAAAAAGAUAUACGAUAGUAGCAAGAAACGAAAAUGCCAAAAUUUAUAAUCAGUCUAGAGAAUUAGUAGCUGUUGCAAACAAAAUCGAUAAUCUGUAUGUUAUGAAAAGCCAGGUAAUUCAAAAAGAAAAUAAUCAAAUGUACGCAAAUUCAUUGAAAUUAACCGAUAAAGAAAAAUGGCAUAGGGCACUUGGCCAUGUUAACUUUCAAUAUUUAAACAAAUUAGUAAAAAAUAAAUUAGUUAAAGGAUUUCCAGAUAAAAUAGAAAAUGUCGAAAUGAAAUGUGCAAAUUGUAUAGAGAGUAAAAUGGCAAAUGUACCGUACGAAAACAAUAGAACAUAAACUACUGAAAUUUUGAAAUUAAUUCAUACUGAUUUAAAUGGUCCACAUAGCACAACUGGUUAUGGUGGAGAAAAAUAUUUUCUAACUUUCGUGGAUGACUAUAGUAAAUGCACGAAAAUUUUUUGUAUUAAAAGUAAAGCUGAAACAGCUAGUUGUUUGAAAGAAUUUGUUAAUUUAGUUUAUUUUUUUAGAAAAUAAAUUCAAUAAAAAGUUAAAGAAAAUACGAUGUGACAAUGGCAAGGCAUAUUUAAAUAAGGAAAUUCAUGAUUUUGUAAAAUCUAAAGGUAUUAAAUUAUUGCCAUGCCCACCGUACGUCCAUGAAUUAAAUGGAGUAGCGGAAAGAUACAAUAGAUCCGCAAUGGGUAUGAGUAGAUGCUUAAUGCGAGAAGCUAAAAUUCACAGGCGUUACUGGCCCGAAAUCAUGAAAACGGUCGCGUAUUUAAAAAACCGUACAAUUGCAAAUACAGCAAAAAAUAAAACACUGUACGAAAUAUUUUUAGGGAAAAAACCAAAUGUCGAACACUUAAAAAUUUAUGGAAGUAUAAUUUUUGUAAGAGUACUAGAAGCAUUGAGAAAAUGUAAAUGGGACGAUAAAGCCAAAUUAGGCAUACUUGUAGGAUACAUUGAAAACGGUUAUAGAGUUUUAGUUAACGGUAAAAUAAUUAAUGCUAGACAUGUUCAAAUAGUGGAAGAAAACACUCAAACCAUUUGUUUAGAAAAACUUGAUGAUGAAAAAUGUCGAGAUUUGGAAAAUAACAAAUCCAUUAAUGUAGAAAAUGAAAUACAGGAAAAUGAAUACGAUGUAAAUUCAAAUAAACCAAACACUCUUAUCUCUACUCAGACCUUAGGGGAAAAUUUAAGUGAACCAACAACUAUUUACGAAGACAAUUCAGGAGCAAUUGCAAUCGUGAAAUUCGGAAACUUUACUCCAAAUUCAAAGCACAUUGAAGUGCAAUAUCAUUAUAUAAAUGAAAGCUACGAAAAGGGCGAAAUAGAUAUUGUAAAAGUUGACUCGAAAUGUAAUUUAGCAGACAUCUUCACAAAGAGUCUGGGUAAAACAAAGUUCCUAAACAAUAGAAAAGGUUUAAGUUUAAUCUAAAGCGUUUAUAUAAAUGUUCAAAGUAAUAAUAGCCUAGUUCAGUUGUAAAAUUCAAGUUCACUUGAAAUGAUCUUAAUUCAAUUAAUGUAAAAUGCGAUGACAAAUUGUAUGCAAAAUUGAAAACUCAAAUGUAUCAAAUUAUAAUGUAAAAAUAUCACGACUGUAAAAUUCAGGAGGCGUGUUGUAAUAUGUGAAUUUUACAGUCGUGAUACUUAAAAUGGUACUCGUGGCGCAAUCUAUCGGUUUGCGACGAUUUCGUGCAGUCAGACAAGCUCACGCGAGAGCAAGCGUAUCGCGCAUGCCUCGCGACUAUACUCUAAGCGACUAUACUACACUGUACACUCUCGUUCGUAGAGUCAGACUAUACCGCACUGUACUACAUAUUCUCUCUCUCGACUAUAAGACUCAGAUGUGAGCGGACGUGUUUCUCGUCAGACUAUUGCCGACUACAAUAUAUAACUAUUAAUUAUUAACCCAAGUGUACACUUAUUUAUCCAACCUUCCAACAUGGUAGCAGAGUGAUUAAUCAUAUAUAGUUUUUAAGUACGUUAUAUGUUUUUAGAUAUGAUUAUUCUCAGAAGGGAUGAUCAUUUAAAAUAUUUGUAUUUCUGCGGAGGAAAGAUAUCAAAAUUAUUGGUGUUAGUUUUCUAAAUGAUUUACUGAUUCUUAAUAUCUGACUAAUAAGUAAAAAAAAUUCUUUUUUUCCAAAUUUAUUUCAGGUGUGCAAUGCCCUGAAUAAUACAUCAUCUCAAAGAUGUUUCCUAUGUGGAGCUACGAUAUCAGAGAUGAAUAAAAUUGAUAAUCUCCUUGAUGAGCAAAUAAAAAUCCCAAGUAUAAAAUAUGGAUUCUCAAUUUUACAUGCAAGAAUUCGUUUUAUGGAGCUUGUAUUACAUAUUUGUUAUCGUAUGCAGCUUAAAAUCUGAAUAGUACCAAAAGAUAAAGAAUCUGAAAUCACUUUGAAAAAGAAAGAAAUACAAGAUCAUCUUUAUGAAAAAUUAGGAAUAUUAGUGGAUGCACCAACUCCAGGUUCUGGCAAUACCAAUGAUGGUAAUACAGCCAGAACAUUUUUUAACAACGUGGAUAUCGUUGCCGAAGCCACAGGUUUUGACCAGAGUCUAUUAUAUCGUUUUCGAGUGAUUCUGGCUGUGAUAUCUUCUGGAAAAAGAAUUGAUAAUAAAGCUUUUCGUGAUUACUGCAGAGAGACAGCAAUACAGUAUGUUAGUUUGUACAAUUGGUACUAUAUGCCUCCAUCGAUGCACGUCAUCCUAUUGCAUGGGUAUCAGGAGCUUUAUGGAUUGUUCUUGCCUAUUGGGAUGCUCUCUAAAAAGGCAUAGGAGGCAAACAAUAAAAAUGUUCAUGAUAAAUUUUCCAGAAAAACGUCUAGAUUGACACCAAUACAGAUAUGUUUGAGAGGUUACUACUGUACUCUGAUCCGUAUUUGUUAUCUAUAGAGGAACUUCGAAAAAAGACAAAUGAAUUUUUAACAGAAGAUAUGAUAAGGUUGCUAUCCUUGGAUGAUGAUCAUUAUGAUAAUAAUGAUGAUGAUGAUGAUGAUGAUGAUAAUGAUGAUGAUAAUGAUAAUAGUGAACAUCACAAUUCUUCGAAUAAUGAAGAUUAAUUAACUGUUAAUGUUGUUGUGUACAUUAAAUAAAAUGUUACGACAGACUA